AUGUGUCUGCAAAGAACUAUCAACCAUAUCGUACACCUCUCCCACCUUUACCACACAAUCUGCCUCACAAUGUCUUCUUCCUCCUUGCGCACGCUGCAAGAAAGCGGUGCCAAAAUCAACCAGGAGCUCUACCAGAAGUUCACCAACGUGGUGUCCUCCUUGCCGUGCUCCCCGGCUCUCACCAGGCACCCGCUCUACCGCCAUGACAAUGGCUGGUAUGCCGCCCUGGCGCCAAUGGUCUCCACAAUGGUCGCGGACGCAUGCUUCUCGGCGCGUCCCUCGGACAUCGUCAUUGCCACAAUGCCGAAGUCCGGCACAACGUGGAUAAAAGCAAUGCUUUACUCCACGGUGCACAGAAGAGAGCACCCCGCAGACGGCCCCGACCACCCGCUCAACUCACUCGGCCCACAUGAGUGCGUCAAGCUCCUGGAGUACCAGCUCUACAUACGGAACAGGAUCCCGAACCUCGACGGGCUUCCUGACCCUAGGCUCUUCGCUGCGCAUGCCCCGUUGGUGUCGCUGCCGAGGUCUGUCAUGAGGAUGGGCUGCAAAAUCGUGUACGUGUGCCGUGACCCCAAGGACGCCUUGAUCUCACACUGGAACUUCGUGAACAAGUUCAGGGCCAGGGACGGGUUGGAGGCGCUCUCGGUCGAGACCGCCGCCGAUUUUUUCUGUGAUGGUGUGACGUUGUUCGGGCCGUACUGGGAUCAUGUCCUCGGGUACUGGCGGGCUCAUCAGGUGCACCCUCAGAAGGUUCUCUUCUUCAGGUACGAAGAGAUGAUUGGGGACCCUGCGGCACACGUGCGGAAGCUGGCGCAAUUCGUUGGCCGCCCGUUCUGCAUGGAGGAGGAAGAGGCUGGCGCGGUAGAAGCCAUCGUAAGGUUGUGCUCGUUUGAGCACAUGACUGGGCUCGACGUGGCCAAGCAUGGCGUGACAGAGCUCGUUGUCAGCAUGGCGGAGAAUAGUUGGUUCUUCCGGCGUGGCCAGGUCGGGGACUGGGAGAACUAUCUGUCGCGAGAGACGGCAAGGAGGAUCGACGCCAUUACCGAGGCCAGGUUCAAGGGUUCUGGCCUCCGUGUAUAG
rnacentral:rRNA from 1 species